rnacentral:rRNA from 1 species
AGCGAACGCUGGCGGCAUGCCUAACACAUGCAAGUCGAACGAACCCUUCGGGGUUAGUGGCGCACGGGUGCGUAACGCGUGGGAAUCUGCCCUUUGCUUCGGAAUAACUCAGGGAAACUUGUGCUAAUACCGGAUGAUGUCUUCGGACCAAAGAUUUAUCGGCAAGGGAUGAGCCCGCGUAGGAUUAGGUAGUUGGUGGGGUAAAGGCCUACCAAGCCGACGAUCCUUAGCUGGUCUGAGAGGAUGAUCAGCCACACUGGGACUGAGACACGGCCCAGACUCCUACGGGAGGCAGCAGUGGGGAAUAUUGGACAAUGGGCGCAAGCCUGAUCCAGCAAUGCCGCGUGAGUGAUGAAGGCCCUCGGGUCGUAAAGCUCUUUUACCAGGGAUGAUAAUGACAGUACCUGGAGAAUAAGCUCCGGCUAACUCCGUG